GGGGAAUUUUGGACAAUGGGCGCAAGCCUGAUCCAGCCAUGCCGCGUGUCUGAAGAAGGCCUUCGGGUUGUAAAGGACUUUUGUCAGGGAAGAAAAGGCUGUUGCUAAUACCAGCGGCUGAUGACGGUACCUGAAGAAUAAGCACCGGCUAACUACGUGCCAGCAGCCGCGGUAAUACGUAGGGUGCGAGCGUUAAUCGGAAUUACUGGGCGUAAAGCGGGCGCAGACGGUUACUUAAGCAGGAUGUGAAAUCCCCGGGCUCAACCCGGGAACUGCGUUCUGAACUGGGUGACUCGAGUGUGUCAGAGGGAGGUAGAAUUCCACGUGUAGCAGUGAAAUGCGUAGAGAUGUGGAGGAAUACCGAUGGCGAAGGCAGCCUCCUGGGACAACACUGACGUUCAUGCCCGAAAGCGUGGGUAGCAAACAGGAUUAGAUACCCUGGUAGUCCACGCCCUAAACGAUGUCAAUUAGCUGUUGGGCAACCUGAUUGCUUGGUAGCGUAGCUAACGCGUGAAAUUGACCGCCUGGGGAGUACGGUCGCAAGAUUA
rnacentral:rRNA from 1 species